GCUAUGGCAGUGCAUCUCCAGAAAUCCUCUUUGUUAGCUAAUCCCCAGAAAGACACUUUCAUCUGCCGAUUAGUCAUGCCCCUGCAAGCCUCAAUAACCCGAGGCAGUUUCUAUCCUUGAACGAGUAGCCGUUGCCCACUUGUUGUGAUGCUCUCCACAUUGGUCCACCGAUUGCCACAGAUGGAUUCUAUGUGCAAUUUGGGAGUCCUCCUAUUGCCUUUCUAGUUCACACACACACAAAAAAAAAAGUGAGGAAAGGGAAAGAACAUUCAGAUUUCCAAGAUUCUGUAACAGUUCCUGGUGCAAUAAACUUGACCUAUAUGACAUUGGUUUCUUAGUCUAGUUUACCUUAUUGGACCAUCACUGAUCCUGGGAACCUGGGUCUAUGGUUGAGCCGAUAUCAAGCUGUUUGCCCAUAUGUUGGUUGGUUUUCACUUCUGCUGUUGUAUAUAUUUUUUUAUGAAUAAACAUAUCAAUUGAUUAAAGUUGAUUA